GGGGUCGUAGCUCAGUCUGGUUAGAGCGCCACUCUGUCACAGUGGAGGUCGCGAGUUCGAGCCUCGUCGGCCCCG
rnacentral:tRNA from 1 species